rnacentral:tRNA from 1 species
AGUGAGUUGGCAGAAUAGUGCAAUCGACUUAGGAUCGAACCAUGAGGAUUCCUCACCCACUA